GGUAAUUUAGUAAAACUGACAGCGUUGUUAGAGCCUAUAAAAUCCAGCGUCGUCGAAAACCCCACAACCGCUCUUGUUCUAUCACUUUCACCAUACACAUGUCUCUCCGCCUAUUUUUCUCAUCUUUCAUCGAACUCAUGGUUGCAACUAAGCCCUCAAAUGACACUUUCCCUCCCUGCCCUUGCAUCCCUACUAAUAAAAUAAGGAGCCUGAAACUUUUGUCCUGCCGCUUUCAAUCUUUCAUUUACUUUUGACGACAUUCUGUGAAUAUGUCAAGAAUUUAAGGAUGUAAAUCUGCGAUCUAAUCUGUGUUUUCAUUGCUUUUUCUUUUAAGGUUUGAAUCUAAAGAUUUCUGCUAACAAGUCCCAGACCUGGCACCAUAUAAAGGUCUGCUCUCUUUAUCCAUCUCUUUUUUUAAAUUUAAGCAUGUGGAUCUGACUUCUAAUCCUUCUUUAGGGUUUUCCAAUUCAAGGUCCUAAGAUAAAGAUUUACUUGAACAACUCUAAGGAAUAACGCCAUAAAAGGUUUGAAUCUAAAGAUUUCUGCUAACAAGUCUCAGAUCUGGCACCAUAUAAGGGCUUUCCAAUUCAAGGUCCUAAGAUAAAGAUUUACUUGAACAACUCUAAGGAAUAACGCCAUAAAAGGUCAGUGUUCUUUAUAUUUAUCUCUUCUUCUUUAUUUGAAAUAGUAUUCACAGGUAUGCGGAGGUGAAAGCAAAGAGAAGAGAAAUUCAAUUUAGUUGCCGACAUCACUGUGACGAAGGGCAAAGAGUAAACCAAGAGAUUCACCAAAUUAGAUUUCUCCUUCUCUUUGCUUCACCACGUGUCUUUUCUCCUUCUUCCGUUAAUAUCUAAGCAUUUCAAGUAAUUUAUGAAAGUUAAUAAGGGUAAUUUAGCAAAACUAAAAACAUUGUUAGAGCUUAUAAAAUCCAACGUUGUUGCAAACCCUACAACCGUUCUUAAUUUAUCACUUUCACAGUACACAGGUCUCUCCGCCUAUUUUUCUCAUCUUUCAUCAAACUCAUGGCUGCAACUAAGCCCUUAAAUGACUUUUUCCCUCCCUCCCCUUGCAUCCCCUCUAAUAAAAUAAGGAGUCUGAAUCUUUUGUCCUGCCGCCUUCAAUCUUUCAUUUACUUUUGACGACAUUCUGUGACUAUGUCAAGAAUUUAAGGAUGUAAAUCUGUGAUCUAAUUUGUGUUUUCAUUGCUUUCUCUUUAAAGGUUUGAAUCUAAUGAUUUCUGCUAACAAGUCUCAG